rnacentral:rRNA from 1 species
GACGAACGCUGGCGGCGUGCUUAACACAUGCAAGUCGAACGGAAAGGCCCUGCUUUUGUGGGGUGCUCGAGUGGCGAACGGGUGAGUAACACGUGAGUAACCUGCCCUUGACUUUGGGAUAACUUCAGGAAACUGGGGCUAAUACCGGAUAGGAGCUCCUGCUGCAUGGUGGGGGUUGGAAAGUUUCGGCGGUUGGGGAUGGACUCGCGGCUUAUCAGCUUGUUGGUGGGGUAGUGGCUUACCAAGGCUUUGACGGGUAGCCGGCCUGAGAGGGUGACCGGCGACAUUGGGACUGAGAUACGGCCCAGACUCCUACGGGAGGCAGAAGUGGGGAAUAUUGCACAAUGGGCGGAAGCCUGAUGCAGAAACGCCGCGUGCGGGAUGACGGCCUUCGGGUUGUAAACCGCUUUCGCCUGUGACGAAGCGUGAGUGACGGUAAUGGGUAAAGAAGCACCGGCUAACUACGUG